AGUUGAUGCUUUAAUUUGGAUUGAGUAGAAUCUUCUUCCACAUUUGUACUUCAUUCUAGAACAGGAUUUUUCUCUUAAAGCUGGAUGGACACUGCAAAACUGAUAAUAGUGGAAAAAAAGGUUAAGAUACUACUUUAAUUAUUGAGACUGGUACAGGAAGCUGAUUAUACGCUGGAAUAGGAUGAAAGGAUUAUUUUUAUCUAGUGACUUUUCAUAAAUAAAACUGCAGACAAAACUAAGUGUAGAGUAUAGAAAGCAACCUACUCAGUGUUUUGAGUAUGAAGAAAAAAAUUAACAGAUCUUGUUUUUAAAUUUUCUUCUUACAUUUCAAGAUGUAUUCUUACAUUUGUCAUUCUUACAAUCUUACAAAUAUCAUUCUUACAUUUCAAAAUGUAUAUUGAAGCUUACCUGUGUGGAUUUAAGAGAGACGUUAACAAUCUUGAAGGUCUUCAGAAACAGGCUGGGAAGGCUGCUAACAGUUGUUGAGAACAAUGUCAGUGGCUUUAAAUUUACAUUUAAAAUAAAGCAAAAGAGGGGCAAUAAACUAAAUGAAACAUUGCUCUGUGUUUAAAAUACCUGUCCUACAGGAAGAGGCAAUAUGGAUAAAAGAAUAGUGUUCAGUCAAAGGUUGGAUUAGAUGAUCGUGGAGGUGUCUUCCAACCUAGGUGAUUCUGUGAUUCAGUAAUAUUUUUCUAGGAAAAAGAGUCACGGUUGAGUUGGAAGGAUUACUGCUUUCCAGAAGGAAAGUAGUCUAGACAUAUGUUGACCUGAGCUAGUGAGUACAUGAUUCUAUAUAACUUAUUUGCUGCGUUUUCAGUAUUAGAACUGUGUAGAAUAUUUUCAAAGAGCAGUGUGAAAAUUUAGGAAGAGCAAAAUAUAGCCUCAGGAAAGCCUGUUGGUUUCAUAGAAAAGUUGGAGACAGGAUAGGAAACCCUGAGCAUUAAGAUAAAAGAAACGAAAGUGAGCACUUAAAGAAAAAGCUGUGAUCUAGGGCCAUAUAUUAUUGUGAAAAUUUGCAAGUAAUCAAACCUUAGAUAAAAUAAAUAUCAGGAGCUUAAAUUGUUAAUGAAUAUAAAUAAUAAAUGCUGGUAGUUUGAAAUGGUAGAAAUUUACUGAAAAAUUAAACGUGGUCACAUUAGCUGUAAUAUUUUUAUGUUAUUCAUUAACGACUGUAUUCAGUGAAACACUUGCAGCAGCAUAGUCAAAUUUUUUUCUAAUGAUCCAAAGCUUCAAAUCACAGAAGACUGAGGCUGCACCUUUCAGACAGGACAAUUCUCAGAAGAAAGAUAAGAUGAAUAUCACCAAAGAGAGGAAGCUAAAGUGAUGGAGCUGAGACAGAUGUGCCUAUAUGAGAUGUGAAUGGGAAGGAACCUGUACCUGAUAAUGAAGUUUGAACUACAGAAAACAAGACAAUGGAUGAUGGAGUUGGUUGCAGUCCUCUGACUUCUGCACAGAGGAACUUUCCACUUGGUAGCGAGCUCUUCUUGUGGACUCUUGCCCUGGAUUUGUCCUGGAAUGUGGCAACGUCUAGUAUGGUCACUGAAAACCUUGCAGCAGAGAAUGUCUGCAUUGAACAUUUUCCAUAUUGAACUGAAACUGAAUUGCAGUCAGAAUGACCUGGAAAGAAGAGCUCAGGACAGGGAAUCAGAAUCCGGCUUCACUGCUGAUUCAUACUUGGCCUAGGAACAUACAGCACUACAAAUGUUGUGAAACCAGAGUGUCACAUCUUUUCACUACUGCAAGAGAGGAUCAGCAGAUCAUGCCAUUCUGGUGAGGUUACCCUGUAAGAACACUGACCUCGUGGCACUGCUUUUAUUGUUCAAGCAACUGGUAAAACAUGAGGUGUGUUAGCAUGCUGAAGUUAACUCUAAGAAAGGACUGUUAAUCCAUUCCAGCUCGAUCAUGGAGCAGCUGCAAUUUAGCUGGGCAGUAUUUGAGGAUCACCACAGAACUACCUCAAUUAAAAACAGAAAAGAUUGGUGCAGACAGAUCACAUCAACCAGCUCCCAUUGUAUGUUACAGGAUUCCCUUGCCCUUCUCAAAAUGGCUUAUCCAGCCUACUGUUAAAGGAAUCAAGAGAUUCAGGAUUUCACCACAUCUCUUAGGAGUUUCUAAACAGAACCAAAAUCCAGAGCAUGGGGAGUGUUUUACGCAGAGCACCACUGGAAGGUCUAUCCUCCUCUUGUAAGAUAUGUACGUCAGAUCAAAAUAUAGUAAAUACCUUCAAGUAGGCUCCAUUAAUGACUGGAAUUUUUCUUAACGAAUGGUAACCGUGUGAUUAAGAAAGUUAGGCAUGUGAUUAAAAGCCAUUGGCUUGAAACUGAGAUACUGCAGAGGAAAGUGUUUUAAAACAGGAGUCCUUAGAAAAAUCCUGACAGUUAAAUAUGAAAGGACUGAAAAUCUGAGUAUGAGGAUGAAUUGUAAGGUAAGAACUCCACAGAUUUCUUUUUGUCCUCCUUGAAGAGACUUGUUCCAGCACUGCCUUCCCAACUUUUCCUGCAAGUCACUGUAGUUACUGACUGAUAGAGAAAAUUGAUUGGUUGUGUGUAUUCAUAAAUGUCAUUUACCUUAUUGGUUAACCAGCAUCACUAAGUCAGUAAUUAUAGUGCACACACAAAAAAAUGGACUUAAGUUCUAAUCUACUCCACUUAGAAGUAAUGUUUAAGUAAAUGAGUUAUCAGUUCAUAAGACAAUGCUGUUGGCAAUUAUAACAACUGCAAAUGACUUAUUGUAUAUACUUCGUAUAUACCUAGCAGCUACAAGAAGAGAAAAUAUAGACGGUUCAUUCUUGUGGAACUACAACUGAACAGGCCCAGUCUUACAGGACAGAAGAAGAAAGCAUGAUAUCAGGGGUUAGAGGUCAGCAGGCACCAUCCAAUUGAAAACAAUCAUCAUUUGAACAGCAGCAACAGCCGGAGAUCAAGUAGCCAUCACUGCUGAAACAGCUUCCUUCUGACUGGUGUUGAAACUGCUACUUAUCAGCUAGAUCACUUCGAAAUACUCCCUGAUCUAUGAAGUUGAUUCAAAUUAGAUGCUUAGUCACUAGAAAAACAACAAACAAACAAAAAAUGAAGCAGGAGUCAGCGCCUGGGAAGAGAAGUCAACAACCAUCACCCAAAAGCCAGAAGUACUGUGGUUGGAGGCGAUGACUGCGUACAUGACACUGUUGCUGCAGAGCUGCCAUCACGAAGCAUGACUGUGCUCCUGAUCUUUCAUUUAUCCAAUAACCUGUGCUAACUUUGGUUUUGAUCCAAUCUCACCUCAGGUAAUUUCAGUAUACAUUCUCAUCUUGUAUUUAUUGAUACUGAGUUUUUCACUGUAGAACCAUACUGCCCAUAGGUUCACUAGGACAAACUCAGUUAAAAAUUCUGAAACAAAUGUAUUUGCGAAGACAUUUUUUGGGUGAAUUGCCCACACUUAGAAAUAGGAAUUUUGGCUAGGGCAGUUAGACGUGAUCCAGCUGUAUAUAAUUCCCUGGCUGGAUUAUAAAUGCUUGCUAAAGCAUACAAUCCCUUGAGCUGCUACACAAUGUGCUAUUCUGGAGGGAAUGCAAGAGUUGGAGAGGUGUUACAGCUAAACUAAAUGCUGGGAGUUGACAGGACAUGCAGUUUCUUUUGACUUGUUCUUGAAAACCACUACUAACAACUAUGACAGGUUCUGUAUCUGUAGUUGAUUAAUAGAACUUUUCUGAAUGGCAGAAAAUAAUUUUAAUCAUUAGUGGAAAAGGUUAUCAUUAGUAGUGAUCCACAAUGUUAACCACAAGCUUAAAUUGUCGAUUUGAUUAUCAUAAUUGUAACAGCACAGUGACUAAAUUGGGAUCAGUUAUUAGUAGGACUAAUAUGCUCCUAUUACGGAGUUUUCAAUGGCUAUAUCAAUACCCACAGAUCAGAAUAAAAACUGUCCUUGUCAGAAACAGCUCAAAAUAAGCUAGCAGAGCUAUAUUGGCUCAAAGAACAGAGCUAGUAAGAAUGACAGGAAAUAAACUCACAAAUUAUUUAGUCUUCUGCAACAGCCACAGUGAAUUCACCUGUAGAAUGGAGUCAGCACAAAACAUCGCACAAGAAUCAGUACUACAAGUCUCUGAUACAAAGAUAUGGACUUAUUCUGCUAACUGCAAACUGUUCAGGCCCUGUCUGUCCCUUGUCACCCAUGAAGAACAUCUUUCACUAUGCCUGACUUGUAUGGUACUACCUCACAAACAGAUUCUUCCACAUAAAAAUGAGCUUUCUCCUUACUUAAUUUCAAGUGUUUUCAAAUUGUUUUUAACCUGAAAUGUAUCAAAAUUGUAUUUAAAGAUACCAUUCUUCUUUUGGAGCUUUCUUCUCAGUUGUAAAACUCUGCAUAUUAUAACAACAAUUUAUCAUUAAAAUUUGAAAAAUAUUCUGCA